CCCGCGAUGCUUGCCAAACAAACUUCUAUCUUUAUCCAACACCCAAGCUGCCGAAUCCCAUGGAACAUCUCCCCUGUUCCCAACCGAAUCGAGUUCAUCCUCCCGUGAUCCACUCAUCUCCCAGCUGCAUCCAUUUGAUUCUAGCUCCAUCCUUGUGAGUUUCACGGCAUCCAAACAUCCCCUGUUUCUCCAUGACCAGGCUUCUUCCACGUCCACCAGCGAGGGAUUCUUCCCAGCCAAAAGAAAUCAAACAUCGAACCGAGCCAUAUCUAAGCACCUACAUUCCGUUUUACUCCCAGCGUCUGCAUAUCCAUGGAUAAACUCAAAUCCCAGCUUCUCUUUCGGUUUGAUCCCAUGAAAUUGCUAACGUCUCAGCUCAUCUUCCCACGCGUCCGGCUUCACGCGUCUUCUCCUUUCAUCCGAACCACAGCAGUCCACGAAUCAGGCCAAGCUUCAUCCCAACGGCAAAGGGUUCAUCCUUAUCUACAUUCGAAACAGAGGAGGGGAGUCGCAGCCUAUAAAAGGCCCCAGGGUGAACAGAGGAGGAUUCAUUGACGACCGGGAGAAGAAGAUCUCGGGAGAGAGGGAGUUCCCACCGAAGUAAAAGGAAAGAGAGGCUUUUGGGUAUUGUGGGAAGAACUUCCCACGGAAAAAGAAAAAAAAUGAAAUGCUAAGGGAGUCCCAUGGGAGAGGAAAAAGCCGGAAGGAAGAAAUGAGAGCCCGCUGCUGUGCCACUGCUGCUGCCGCCCACGACUUCAUGGAAGGCUGAUCUCCUCUCUAGGGUUGGAUGCAGCCCUAACAAAGGAACACGGGUUUUAUAUUUUAUUUUAUAUUCUUGGGGCAGUAUGAAUUUAUUAUUAUUUCUAAUAGAUAUCUUCUUUUGAAUCAUAUUUAAUUUCUGUGAUUUUAAGUAUGGUGUUCGUACAACUGUUCUUCAUGAUCAUUAAAGUAAAAAUAAGAUAGUUCAUGCUUAAGGAAGAUGCGAUGUGCUACCACCUUAGAUUAGGGUAGACAUUUCAUGCUAACUAAAGAUGGACUAUGCCUAAAUUGCUUUUGUGAAAUUUCUAUUUGAAUGCUUAUUAGGCUUGUAGCCAAUUUGCAUGUUAAUCUAAGAACGAAAUAAAUUAUAAAUAACCCUUGUUUCGAUGUUAGUGGUGAAUUUCUUGCCCUAGGUUCCCUCAAACUGAUAUCAUUUUAAUUGCAUUUUUUUAUUAAAUUUCUUAGUUUAAUUUUCUUCACAAACUCUUCUUUUUAAUUUUCUUUUAAGAAAAAUAACUAUACCCCAAUUCCUGUGCAUCAAUACCUGUAAUCACUAUCCUACUAGAUACGUGCUAUUGCGUGGUCUUUAAAGUUGACUAUCAAUUUUUGGCGCCGUUGCCGGGGAUUGUUAGCAUAGUUGUUUUUCUUUUCAUUAAAAAAAACUUUCAAAAAAAACUUUCAAAAAAUAUAUAUAUCUAAAAUAAAAUAAAAAUAUUUUCUAUUUUUGUUACUUUUCUUAUCUCCUUUCUCUCUCUUACUAAUUUUUGAUUUUUAUUUGAUCAAGAAUCGAAGAGGAAGUCCGGGAUGAUCAAAAAGGGAAGUGCUGAAAAAAGAAUGCUGUAGAGGUUUGCUUUUAAAAAAAAUUGCUGGGGAAAUUCUCUUUGGUAACAUCUAAACCUUUCUUAUUUAAAUUGAUUCCUAAUUAGCCUGAAAUUUUGUGGUGAUUGUUUGAUUUUAAUUUUAGUAAAAGUGUGAAUGCAUGCUUGAUACACAUACAUCAAUUAAUCCGCACAUAGUAAGGGCAAUCACCGCAACAAGAUAAGAACUAGAUUUCAUCACCAGAUUCUUGCCCAAAUUAGGUAAAUCAAUUCUCACAUAGCUAUCACGUUAAUUAAAAUCAAUUAGACGUUGGCCUCUAGGGACAUUCGAGCUCAAUAGGACGAAGAUCACUGAAAGUUGCACCAAUUUCGCUCUGUGGCUCAGUUGAUGUCUAGGCAAGCUUUGUCCCAAGGGAGACAGUUCAUCUGUUCGAGGCAAGUGGUUUUUAAGUGGGACCUUUGCAACGCAUCGUGACCCCCCCACUUACCUGGGAGCUUACCUGGUCAACUUCGUUCAUUAGACCGGAUUGGAGGCUUAGGUGCCCUCUUCAAACCAGUUAGGAGCUGUCUAGUGAUUUUAGGGCAAAUACAAGGAUUUGACGUAUUUUUCUUUUAGUGCAUGCUUGACUUGACUGAUCAGAAGAGUAUAACUCCUUGCUCGACAAUCAGUCUUCCACAAAUUUUCUUCCUUGGAGAACUCGGCAUGAAUCCGGUAUAAUUUGAUAAGGAUGCGCUCCGUCUGGCUGAAGACGUUAAACUUAGCACUUGUUGGGAGGCAACCCAAUUCUCAUAGAUUAUUUUUGCAUAUUUUCUUGUCGCAUUUUUUUUUUCUAGGAGUCCUCAUAUUACUGAUGCAACUAAGGUACAAUGCUUCUAUCCUCCAUAUGCAUCAUAUUUUCAUCCCAAAUAAAAAAUAUAUAAAAAAUAAAAAUCAUAAUAUAAUAUCUCAAAAAAUAAAAAAAAUUAAAAAAAAAUAUUGAGGUCAAUGUCUGAUCUAGGUUGGGGAGUAUAGGAUUCGAAUUUUUGAAGAAAUUUUUCGCAUUUUCGUAUUUUUGAAUAAAUUUUUCGAAAAAAAAACCUAAUUUCUAUGCCUUAGUGCUGAAAUGAUAAAUACACAAAGUAUAUAAAAUCUAAAAAUCCCAAUGAUUUGUCAGGAAUAAGACAAUUUGAGUUCUUUUCAUUAAAAGUUCUUUAGUGAGUGGUAAGAUAAUUUGUACUUUGGAAUUUCACAAUACACAUGGCCUGCACUUCUAAGGGUUAGGUUCAACAUUAUGUUGUUAAGUCUGGUAGCAACCUUGAGUCCUGAUGAAUCAUUCCUAUCUAAUUCACUAUUAUUCCAUAUUUAUUAAAAAAAAUAGUCAGGUACAUCGAAAAGGGCUACCUAUUGUCAAAGGUUAGCGGGCUUGUAUGAGGAACCCGAGCAUAGGUUCGUAGGGGAGUCUUGAUGCCCAACACCUUAUGCCAUCUGAUGUGGAAGUGUUGACUGAAUACUCGCUAUACGGAGGAAUCAUUGCAAGAGUAAAAGUACGUAAUUUAUUUAUAAAUAAAAAAAAAAGAAAAAAAAAAGAGAAAAUAAUAUUGACCUUGAAAAAAGAUAGUGUGAAAGCCGUCGCUAUAAAAAUUCGAGUAAACUGUAAUAUUACAGAUAAAGCCCAUGAGGUAUUAAAGUAAACAUCCACAACUCUCGAAAUCCUGCAAGAUAGGAUGAUUUUGAAUCAGUGAUUAGGUCUUAUCUGACCAAUUCUUGGAAACUACCAGCUUUAGCAGUAUUUUGGGGAAUCUAAAACCUUAGCUUGUGUUUGGUCCAAAUAUCACCAAGCACCCAAGUAUAAAUAAGCCUUACAACUCUCUAACAGAAACUUAAUGACUUCAACUUAAGUUGCAUACUGACUUAGGAUUUGGGCUGACUUAGUAAUUAAAACUUUGUGUGCUUUUGAAAUUAUUGGCACUUAUGCAUUUGAAAUUAGAUUUUAUAAAACGAUAAAAUAAAUUCUUUGGGUAGAGACAACAGUUUGUGGGUAUCUGAGCCGGAAACCCUCACGAGACAAAACUCGUCCACUAGGGCCACCUAGGGGUUUAAAGCCUUAUUGCAUACGGUAAAUGCAAUCGCGAUUCCUGCGAAAGUGAGUUUGUUUUUAUUUCGCUCGAUGACUAGCAAAAUGUAGGUUGGGGGUGUGAUAAGUGCUAAAUAAUGCAUAAAUUAAUAUCUUAUUUAUAGCACUUAUCAUUAUUUUAAUUCACAUAUCUUGUAAAUUUAACUAAAAAAAUGUAUUACCUUCAUCAUUGCAUUUUAAAGGUAAUUCAAGUUUGAUUUGAUUAUUUAUUGAUUAAGCUUAAUGCAUGCAGGUCGAGUCGAGCUCAAUUAGGUAAAGCCUAAACGGACACUACAUCAUUUCACAAUUUCACAUUCUCCUGAGUCGACUCCAAGAACUCUUUUCCAAAAUCCAGUGCUUUCCAAGUUCACCUAAAUUUCGUCCCACUCAUUCGAAUUCUCCUGUUUUAAUAUUAAAAAUAAUACAAUCCCUUCAAUCAAUUAUUUCUCAGAUCUCAAAGCAUACUAUCUUAGUUGCACAGAUUGCAAAGCCUCACCCCUUCAAUCCAUUUCAACUUCCAACGAAUAAUCCCAGAUCUCCUCCCAGCCAUUCCGCUUCCCUCCACGUCAUUUCUUUAGGAACAGAGCCAUAUGUACAGGAUAAGCUCUCAUAUCCAAACUUCCCCUUCUUCCGGAUCGUUCUCACAUUCAUUCCAUUCGAAACUCAAAGCUUCUCCCGGAUCACUCCCUCUCAACCGAAUCUAGCUUUCCAUCACCCACGGAUAAGCCCAAGCCAGCCUUCAUCUCAUCCGCGAUUAACUCCCAGCUUCAUCCCAUUCAAAUUCCUUCUCCUAAGCUUCUCCAGCUAGAUUCCCUCCACAGAUGAACAUCUCCCAACGUCCAGCUUCAUCUUCCCGAGAUCCCAACUCCAAGCGCCCACAUCUUCGGCAGUCCAAAGAACAAAUCCAAACCUCCACGAACAGAGUACGUCCGCAGCUUCAUCCUCCCGAUUCCUCCGGCACCUCAUUUAAGCCGUGAACAGCACCCCAGCAUCUUCCGGAUGAGCAUUCCAUCUUCUUCUGACUUCUUCUCAUCCACAAAUCCGAACCAAAUGCAUAACAGAGCGCCCUUAUCCCGAGGAACAGACCCGUAUGUGAUCUUCUCCCCUGUUUCACGCAUGGCCAGCCGUUCCCAAGCUUCACAGAAGCUUCAUCUAAACUGUCAACCGAAUCCAAGUUUUUCCCCUGUUUCGGAAUCAAGUCCCAAUAUCCCACGGAACAGCUCCUCCCGCGAUGCUUGCCAUACAAACUUCUAUCUUUAUCCAACACCCAAGCUGCCGAAUCCCAUGGAACAUCUCCCCUGUUCCCAACCGAAUCGAGUUCAUCCUCCCGUGAUCCACUCAUCUCCCAGCUGCAUCCAUUUGAUUCCAGCUCCAUCCUUGCGAGUUUCACGGCAUCCAAACAUCCCCUGUUUCUCCACGACCAGGCUUCUUCCACGUCCACCAGCGAGGGAUUCUUCCCAGCCAAAGGAAAUCAAACAUCGAACCGAGCCAUAUCUAAGCACCUUCAUUCCGUUUUACUCCCAGCGUCUGCAUAUCCAUGGGAUAAACUCAAAUCCCAGCUUCUCUUCCGGUUUGAUCCCAUGAAAUCGCUAACGUCUCAGCUCAUCUUCCGACGCGUCCGGCUUCACGCGUCUUCUCCUUUGAUCCGAACCACAGCAGUCCACGAAUCAGGCCAAGCUUCAUCCCAACGGCAAAGGGUUCAUCCUUAUCUACAUUCGAAACAGAAGAGGGGAGUCGCAGCCUAUAAAAGGCCCCAGGGUGAACAGAGGAGGAUUCAUUGACGACCGGGAGAAGAAGAUCUCGGGAGAGAGGGAGUUCCCACCGAAGUAAAAAGGAAAGAGAGGCUUUUGGGUAUUGUGGGAAGAACUUCCCACGGAAAAAGAAAAAAAAAUGAAAUGCUAAGGGAGUCCCACGGGAGAGGAAAAAGCCGGAAGGAAGAAAUGAGAGCCCGCUGCUGUGCCACUGCUGCUGUCGCCCACGACUUCAUUGGAAGGCUGAUCUCCUCUCUAGGGUUGGAUGCAGCCCUAACAAAGGAACACGGGUUUUAUAUUUUAUUUUAUAUUCUUGGGGUUGUAUGAACUUAUUAUUAUUUUUAAUGGAUAUCUUCUUCUGAAUCAUAUUUAAUUUUUGUGAUUUUAAGUAUGGUGUUCGUACAACUAUUCUUCAUGAUCAUUAAAGUAAAAAUAAGAUAGUUCAUGCUUAAGGAAGAUGCGAUGUGCUACCACCUUAGAUUAGGAUAGACAUUUCAUGCUAACUAAAGAUGGACUAUGCCUAAAUUGCUUUUGUGAAAUUUUUAUUCGAAUGCUUAUUAGGCUUGUAGCCAAUUUGCAUGUUAAUUCAAGAACGAAAUAAAUUAUAAAUAACCCUUGUUCCGAUGUUAGUGGUGAAUUCCUUGCCCUAGGUUCCCUCAAACUGAUAUCAUUUUAAUUGCAUUUUUUUAUUAAAUUUCUUAGUUUAAUUUUCUUCACAAACUCUUCUUUUUAAUUUUCUUUUAAGAAAAAUAACUAUACCCCAAUCCCUAUGGAUCGAUACCCGUAAUCACUAUCUUACUAGAUAUG
rnacentral:lncRNA from 1 species